CUCUCAUUGAGGAUGAAGAAUGCACUAUUUUCUAAUCUUUUACAACGUGUAAAUAUUAGUAAGUGUUAAAAACUUUAAACAAAUAGAAGUAUUUUCUUUGUAUUGGGACCUUUCAGUAAUUACUAACAUAAACAAUAAGGACAGGCAUAUGCCCGGACGUCUAGUACUUUUAUAUUAGAAAUGGGAGUUGGGGUGUACGAACAGGGGGACGAAUAGGGGUAUUUUGGUAAUUUCGAUUUUACUAUCUAUCUAUAGUCCACUUUCCUUCUUCUUCCAUGCUCUCCAUUUAGUGCAAGUUGGUGCAAAAUUGACAAUUUUCCUGCUUCAUUGCUUUGCAAUUCUCUUCAUCAAGAGUUCAAGUUCAAGACGUCAUUAUCUUUUGCUGAAUUUUUCAAUUCUCUUGGCUUCCCAUUUUUCUUCCCUCUUUUAGUUUCGAAUCUAUAUCUUUGAAUUUCUCCUCUUUCCAGGUAUAGAAUUUGUCUCUUUCUGAUUUCACAAUCUGGUUGCUAUUAAUCUUCUAGCAUUAAUUGUGUUUGUUUUCAAUUCUUAAGAAUGAUUUCUAGCUAGAUUUGUAAAUGACUAGGUGCAUGCCUUUUUGUUUCUGAUUUUGGGGUAAAAUGGUGUUUUAAUGUGAAACUUUUGUUCUUUAAAGGUGCGUUGCUUCCUCGUAAAAAGAUCUACCGUGAUUACUUUAUGUAAUAUGUGAUAUGUGAUCAUAAAUGACUCGCACCAUGAUGCACCUAAGGUGUUUGAUGAAAAGGAAACCUUUUGGGAGGCGCUAUUUGAUUUUUUAACUCUCAUUCUUUCAAUAUUGUAUUAGUGCUAUUUGAAUUUUUAGUGUUAGAGUGGUAUUAUUAAUCUUCAUAAUAUGUGAUGAUUGAUGUAUAAACACAUGUUUAUUUAGUGUUAUUAUGUCAAUUGCUUCUCCUAGCAUGCGAAGGCUACCUUUGAUCCAUAUAAUGAAUGGGCUCCAUUUUUGCUGGAAGGUAACUUCUCCACUUCACAUGUGCUUUUCCUCCCUCAUCUAAUUUUGCUUUUCGAAGUAGUUGCAACUUAUUACUGCUAAGUUGGUGCUUAGAGCUAUAGGAGCUUGGGAAAUGCUUAGGUUUAAAUUAUGCUUGUUGCAUUAUAGUUGAUCUUCUGGGCAAUAACCCUUAUUUCGUUGCUAAAAUACGUAUUUUUGGUAUUUAGUGUUGAUCAAGUAAAAUUUUGUUAGAGAGAUGCUCAUUAAUACUUAUGGAACCUGACUGUGUUUGAUUGAUCAUACAUGAAUAUUCUCAGGUGGUACAUUUGCUACGCAUAAGUGCAAAGUAGUAUGAAGUUGUUUUUCCUACGAAAAGAAAUUCGUGCUACACUCCACAGACAAGCAAUUAUAUGGAUGCUGCUUAAUCUACAUAUUUAUCAUUAAAGAGCUUUGACAAGUAUAAGAAGUCAGGUGCAGUUCUACUUAUCAUUGUAUUAUUGUAUAUUUGUCCAGACAUAAUUGAUGGUGUUCUGUUGCCUGCAGUGGCAGGUUGAUAAUCGAAAACCAACUGCUUUUUUCAUGUUCUCUUCCUCAGUUGGGCACUGUCUAAAAGGAGAAAGGAAACAGUAAAUCUUUGACUAUAGCCUACACUUUGAUAUCAUGUUGCGGCUAGCACGGCCAUUUAUUCGGUGACACAUGUUAAACCAUCUGUCACUUCUAGAUUCUCUACUUUGCCUUCUCCAUUGGGGUUACACGGUGCGGCAGUGCCUUGUGGCUUAAAUAUGAGAUCAGAUUAAGUGUGGCAUUUGGUUUCAGUGCUGGAGAGUGGUCUGCCAAAUGACUGCAGGUAUGUGCUUUACUCAAAGCAUUCUCUGGGUUGUUGAUAUGUUAAGGUUCAGUAGUUUCCACAGGCAAAAAGGAUAGUAAGCAGUUUGGAUGUUGCUUGAUCAUUGACCCUGAACAAGAAAAUAGUGGAUGAAAAAGAGACGCAUGCUUCUAUUGGACCUGGAGUUGGCCAAGGGACUGUUGUGGGUCAAGCUGCAGAUAGUAUUGUGAGACAGCCUAAGGCAGAGGGAAAAAUACGUGGUGCGCUAUUGCUUAGUCUAGCUUUUAUGGCAGCUUUAACAAUUUAUGGACUAAAUUGUCAGCAGGUUUGGUGAUCUUGUGGUUGAAUAUCCACUGCUCAAGGAGCUGAAAAUAUUGCCAACACAUUCAGUAGGCUUGGACUAUAGUGCGCGGCUACAAUGUAAGAAAUUUUGAAGCUAUAAAAUUAAUAGAACAUAAUGCUCUGCAACUUUUAAGAUGGAGGAGAAAUAAAAAAUGGUCUGUGGUGCAUGAAGUUAGACAACAAACUCAAAGUGGUGUUCCUAUUAUUUGUGUUGACAAGUGUCUAAGAAAAUUGUGCUACUUCUAUCUCUUUGUACUUGUUACACCUCGAAAUUUCAGGUUGCUAUGCGGUGAAUAAACUAACGCAAGUUAAGGUGUAUAUGAUACCCUACCUGUGAGAAGGGUUACUUAAUGAUUCUAAUUAAGAUUCCAAAGACAUUUGAGGCGAGAGAAGAAAGCUCGUUGGAGAAAGCUAAGGCAGAAAGUGCCUUACCUUGUGUACAAGUGUACCAGCAGGCACCAGUCACGGUCGACGGGCCGUCGACAUGUCGACGGACCAUCGAUGUGUACCAUCCCUGCGAUCAGGUAUUUGCAGGCGCGAGUCGACAGAGCCAGUCGACGGGUCGUCGACCCGCUCGUCGAACCACCUCUCUGGAAUUUUCUGGUGUCAGCUAUAAAUAGACGAGCCAUGCUCUUAUUUUUCAGAUUUCACUUCUCUCCAAGUCCUGAAAACUCUAGAAUACUCUCAAUAGCAUAUUACCACAAAUCCAAGAGGAAUUAAGGGGUAAGCACCAAGAAAUUAGUAGAAUCAAGUGCAAGGAUAUUCACUAGGGCUUGUGGAAACCAAGAAUCUUUUUGGUAUUGAAGUAGGGUUUUCUCUCAAGUGGAGUAAUUUCAUCCAAAGCCCAUUCCUAUGUGAUCAAAGGUGAGUUUCACAUUUAAUUCAUGUUACUAAGAAUAUUGAGUAGUUCAAAGGCUUGGAUUAUGGAAGAAAGUAGAGUGCGAAGUUCAAAUAUGGAAAUAAUGGAAUUCUUGAAUGGUAACUUGACUUGAAUCAUAGUUUUGACAUGCCAUGAGUGUAAUCUUGUAGUGAAUAAUACAAAUGAUGUUAAAGGAGUAUUAUAUGAGAAUAUAUAUGGUAUUAUGUCAUAGUUUUGGUUAUGGAUGACAUUGGAAGGGCAUUGUAAGGAUUGAAUAAUGUUGAACUUGAUAAAGUUUAUCGAUUGUAGUAUCGUGGGUGUUAUUAUAGACGUUUGGGAGUUGUUUAUUACAUAGAGAAGGUUGUUGAAACAAAGGAAACGCUGCCUAAUUUUCGUUAGCCCUUAGUUGUUUUAGUUGAGGCCUAAGUAUGUUCCCGGUUAUCUAAUCCUCGUACGAGUUCUCUUGAAUGUAGAAUCGCCUUCCUGGAAGGAGAACGCUAGUUGUUGAGGAGACGUCAAGGUAUGUAAGGCUAGUCCCCCUUUCUUUUAAAAGGCGUGACUCAUUUAUUACUAUCUCUAUUUAUGAUUUCCAUGACUUUCCUUCAUUCCAAAAGCUACAAGUCUAUGAUUAUUAAGAGCUUCUCUUGAGAUAAAGAUAAGAGAUAUGUUAUGAAUAUGAUAAUAAUGAUGAUGAAUCUAUGUCUAGAGAUUCCAAAGCUUAUGAUAUGAUAGCUUUAUGAAGCUAAUGAUCCUUAUAUGAUUCCUUGGUGUUAUUCAUCACCUUAUGACGCUAGUUCCUUCAAGGUAGGACAUGAUGAUCAUGACUACUCCAUAAUGGAAUCGGGGGUUCUCAACCUUACGUCACCCCGAUAGAUUCGUAGCUUUUACUUGAGUUCUUAUGCAUGCCUUAUGAUAAGUAUAUAUGUAUGAUAACACCGUGCCUAGUUGGCCGGACAUGACACCGCUAAGGCGGGCGGCUUAUGAUGACACCGUGCCUAGUUGGUCGGACAUGACACCGCUAAGGCGGGCGGCUUAUGAUAACACCGUGCCUAUUUGGCCAGACAUGACACCACUAGUGGGCGGCGUGCGAUAGUUACCCGAACGCGGGUUAACUAUGAUGGUACAUUUGAUAUGCAUGACAUGUGUUUUCUUUAAAAGUUAAGCAGGCAUAAUAUUCGCCUUAAGAGGCAAUUGACGUACAGGUUAUAUCUUUGCCUCAUGUUUCAUUAUUUCUUUAUUAUGUUGUUAUUCAUGCCUUACGUACUCAGUACAUUGUUCAUACUGACGUCCUUCUUCUUUUUGGACGUUGUGUUCAUGC